rnacentral:rRNA from 1 species
AUGGCGGGAAGCAGCCACCGCCGAUCUGUGACACCGCAGUACGAGUUGGAUGCUUCCGAGUUCUUCACUAUCAUACUUGAGGCUUCAGUAUCAUCCAUGACGCAGAGGCCGCCUGAUAGUUUUAUGAACAUGCUGAUGGGUGAAGAUCCGCCAAAUAAUGUGAAGUUGCGACAGGCCGGCAACGGGUUUCGCAGGCAGUGGGAUGUGCAGUUGGUGAUCAAGAAGGGCCACAUGUACUUGUCUCGUGGGUGGGAGAAGUUCUACCGUGCCUACGACAUGCAGCUGGGGUACUUCCUUCUCUUCAGGUACGACGACAACGCCAACAUGCUCAUCGUGAAGGUGUUCAACAAGACUAUGUGUCGCAUGCGCUACGCUUCCGAUGAUGAUGCCGGUAAUGGGAGCAGCAGCAGCGACACUGGCUACGGCCAAAGCAGCAGCGACUAUGGCUGUAGCGAAAGCAGCAUCGAUUCUGGCAGCAGCAUAGACAACAAGAAGGAUGAUCCGGACUGGAGUGCGGGAGAAGAGGAGCAGAGUGAGGAUGAGGAGCUGCAGGAUGACGAUGGGCAUCAGGCUGAGGAUGACCUAGCGCUGGUGGUGGCUGACCAAGGGCAAGAGAUGGUGGUGGCUCACCAUGGGCAAUAG